GGGUGGUAAUGCCGGAUGCUCCGGUUGGAUGCAUGUCCUUCCGGGAAAGAUCCGUCGGUAUGGGAUGGGGUCGCGUCCUAUCAGCUUGAUGGCGGGGUAACGGCCCACCAUGGCUUCGACGGGUAGCCGGCCUGAGAGGGCGACCGGCCACAUUGGGACUGAGAUACGGCCCAGACUCCUACGGGAGGCAGCAGUGGGGAAUAUUGCACAAUGGGCGCAAGCCUGAUGCAGCGACGCCGCGUGCGGGAUGGAGGCCUUCGGGUUGUAAACCGCUUUUGAUCGGGAGCAAGCCCUUCGGGGUGAGUGUACCUUUCGAAUAAGCACCGGCUAACUACGUGCCAGCAGCCGCGGUAAUACGUAGGGUGCAAGCGUUAUCCGGAAUUAUUGGGCGUAAAGGGCUCGUAGGCGGUUCGUCGCGUCCGGUGUGAAAGCCCAUCGCUUAACGGUGGGUCUGCGCCGGGUACGGGCGGGCUGGAGUGCGGUAGGGGAGACUGGAAUUCCCGGUGUAACGGUGGAAUGUGUAGAUAUCGGAAA
rnacentral:rRNA from 1 species